UGCGGAUCGAUGAUGUAUUUGAAGAAACUGCGUUAUCUAUCUGUUAAUUCCUUUACCGGAUCUGAUGAUAAUAUUAUCUUCCUGAGAUCUUAUCAUUCUUUUUAUUUCAUACUCUUUUUUUUUUAUAAAACUAGUAUUAUUUCUUUUCCUUUUUUUUUUUAAUUUGAAACAGGAAUUUUAAGUUUUUAUAUGUAUCGAUGAUGUUUAAAUAUUACUGCGUUAUCUAUCUGUAAAUUCCUCAACAGGAUUUGAAGAUAAUGAAAACCUACUGAGAUCUGAUUUUGUAUCCAUUACGAGUUUAUUAUUUUAUAUUUUUUUAUGAAUUUUUUAAAGGAAGAUUGAAAUUAGAGGGUCGAUGAUGAUGCAUUUCACUUUGUUAUCCUUGCACUUUGAUACAUAUAUGAAGAAAACUAUGGGGAAAGUUAUUCUGAGAGCUUU
rnacentral:lncRNA from 1 species